ACGGAUAUACCAUUCAUGUAAGCGCGCGAUAUCAGGCAGCUUGCGAGGCUACAUUCAGUACACUGCAAGUCACGAUAUCAACAGAGGCUCUUUUACUAAGCUCCCACUCCUCUGGGAUCCCCAUGCCCUGACUCUCCUCAAAGUCCACCAUCACUGGCCCAGCCGACACAAGGUCAAAUGGGUCAGGCAGUCCAGCACAGUCCUCCACCACCUCCUGGGGAUGGGGCUCCACGGUGGUCCUUUGUGAUGCUUGGGAGGUCGAGCAAGUGGUCUGACCCAUUGGAUUCUUAAUGUUGCCACGCCCACCACCCCCCCUCGGUCCUGUGUUACAGAAUGCCUCUGAAGACCCAGCCUGCACCCUCCAGUCACCCCCGCUGGGAGCCUCUAACCUCUGCUUCAGUCCCAGGGUGUCCUGGUCCCUCUGGGUCACUGAGGAGAGUCCCUGCUGCUGGUCCCCUUGGAGCCCGGUUAACAGACGCACAGUCUCACUCAGCACAGACUCCACUGCUGUACGCACUGCCUCCUCAAUGGCCCCGCCCAGUCUGUCCCUCAGGAAGCUGAUGGACAACUGGACAUCCAUCUUGGCACAGCUCUACCUGGCUGUCUCUGUGACUUUAGACACCAACCACAGGUUAGAGCUCUAUGGGAUGGUAUGUAGCUAGUCUAUUCAAAAACCACAAAACCUGGGUAUUGUCAAAGAUUCUCUAGUAUAAGUUAUUGCUUAAGUUCUUCCUCUCUGAUAAUUGAUAUGACCACAUCUCUAAGCCUCUCUCACUUGGAGCGUCAACCAGAGAUACAUACUGAGUAAUAUGAAUUUUACUUAGAACAAUCAUAUUAGCUCUUCACCCUAAAACUACAGAUAUCUUGGCAACCCAAAAACCAAUGUCAACAUAGCUAGCUAAGCUGGAUCACUAACUAGUAACAUUACUACCAUAUUAUGCGGAAGAUACAUUUCGGGUGAAUAGAAUGAGUUUUGCAACUGACUAGGUAUCCCAUUUUCCCAUUGUUGUCCCCAUUAUUAUUGCUAGCAACAAAACAAGCUGACUAGCUAGCUAAUCAUUUCCUACAAGCUAUCUCUGUAAAUUAACAGAUUCAUUCAACUAGUUAACGUCACCAACAUUUCACAGCAAAUUAUCGAAACAAUACUCGAAGUCUACGCGGGAUUGGGACUUUAAACCAAAGCUACAGUGCGUAAAACAUUAAUAUAUAAAUUUUUGAAGCGUUCUAGCUAGCUAGGUAGCUAUCGAUUCUAGCUAGCUAUCGUCCCCUAAAUAAAAC
rnacentral:lncRNA from 1 species